GAGGUUAAUAUAUGGAUAAAAUCCAAAUCGAAUCGGAUUUUGUCAAUUUUCGGGUCGACGAUGUGGACAUGUGUCCCAUUACGCAAGCACCAGGCACCGGCAAUAGAAGCUUCGGGCUUCCAGCCCAGCGGACGAAGAAACCGUUGCUUUUUCGCCGUUAAUUCAAAAGUACCUCGCAGAGUCUUCCGAAACAUGGACAUGGAUAUCGACGAAACAGCCAAAGGUAUGCCCUUUCUCCAAAACGCCGCGUUUUACCAUUCUCAGUCGUCAUCUCCUUCGGUGAUCAUAAAACCUGUACGCCCUUCUGACGGGGGAAGAAAAACAAGGAAAGCCUGUCGUAGUAAUAUUGGUGGGUGCGCCUGGAAGCGGCAAGUCUACCUUCUGCGAACAUGUGAUGCGCUCCACUCGCCCUUUGGUUCGCAUUUGCCAGGAUACUAUCAAAAAUGGUAAAGCCGGAACGAAAGGGCAGUGUAUAGAUAGUGCAAUGAAUGCGUUGAAGGAUGGGUAGUGUGUGUUUAUAGAUAGGUGUAAUGUGGAGAAAGAAAAAAUGGGAUGAUUUUGUGAAGCUUGGUGGUAGUUCCCAAGUUGAUGUUCAUGCUGUGGUGCUUGAUCUUCCUGCCAAGCUUUGUAUAUUACGAGAAAUUUUUAGUUGUGACGGGAACACAAGUGAUACACCACAUGUUUUAAUAGGAAUGGUGAGAAUUUUUUUUUUUAAAUUUUUAACUUUGUAGCACACAUAUCUCACCAUUUGUUUAGUGACAUGUGGUGUAUCAUCCCGUGUACUGGUCACACUAAAGAAUCUAACGAGCCAUGAAGGAAACGUGCAAGGCAGGAAAGCUGUGGCGAUUGUGAAUAGAAUGCUGCAGAAGAAAGAAGAGUGAAGGGUUUGCUAGAAUUACUUGUUGCCAGAGUGAGAGUGAUGUUCAAUCUUCCGUUGAUGCAUAUAGUGGACUUGGUCCGUUAUAUACAUCUCCCAAUGGUUAUUCUGGUCGGAAGAACCCCGGUGCAAAAAUUCAACUAGGUAUAAAGAAGUUCUUAAAGAAAACAGAUGGUCCUGCCAAUACUGAAUCAACUUUGAAGAGUGUACCGGAUUCUAAUGCUUCUCAAAUUACUGAAGAAAAGGAAACCUCUUUGAAAGGAACACGUUUACUUUCUGAAAAAUCUGGUAAGGAAUCAAAGGUAGGUGAAGAGCUAGUUGUAGGCUCUGUUGGCGGUGAUGGUUCUCUAAAUGAUGCUUCCGCUCUGGCAUUUCCUUCCGUUUCAACAGCAGAUUUUCAAUUUGACCUUGCAAAGGCAUCUGAUAUUAUUGUUGAGAAAGUUAUAGAAUUUAGGAAUAAGCUUGGAAAUUCUAGACUUGUUUUAAGUGGACUUGAGUCAUUAAUCGAAGAUUUUGUCUUUGGUAAGGGCUAAAGCUUCAGAGAAAAGCAUUGAUUCCAACAAGUUCUUCACAUUUGUGGGAGAUAUCACUCGGCUUCGUUCAUUCAGAAGGAGGUUUACACUGCAAUCUAAUAGCUAAUGCUACCAAUUGGUUUAACAAUGGAGGCUUUGUUGCAUGCAUUUUGCUUAUUCUCUGAGCGUCAGAGAUUCCAAACCAGAAAUUUUCAGUGCAUUACUCAGGUUUAUGAUUAGAUCGACUCUAAUUCACUUUGAAGUAGUCUAGGCAUAUCUGCAAGCUACAUGUUACUCCUAUUUUAGUCUGCUCUGUGGAGAAUUUAUUGGGGUAACUGAACACGCCCAAUUCAAUUCCUAUUAAGUGUUAAUCCUCUCUUUUAGUAGUUAAGUGUUAAUAUGGAAGACCUAAUCAUCACGAUCGAUACUUCGUAUUUGUCAAUUUAAAGUCUUAAAUGAUAGAAGUUUUUGUCCUAUAAUUGUAGUUGAGGUUCAUCCUAAAACCAGUUGAAAUUGGGCGAGUGACUCAACUCUUGUAAAAGCAGAUGAGUAUUUCAUUGUGCUCUGACAUGAAAGUGAGAAUAUUGAUUGAACCGUA